CGGACGGGUGAGUAAUGUCUGGGAAACUGCCUGAUGGAGGGGGAUAACUACUGGGAACGGUAGCUAAUACCGCAUAACGUCGCAAGACCAAAGAGGGGGACCUUCGGGCCUCUUGCCAUCGGAUGUGCCCAGAUGGGAUUAGCUAGUAGGUGGGGUAACGGCUCACCUAGGCGACGAUCCCUAGCUGGUCUGAGAGGAUGACCAGCCACACUGGAACUGAGACACGGUCCAG
rnacentral:rRNA from 1 species